rnacentral:rRNA from 1 species
GACGAACGCUGGCGGCGUGCUUAACACAUGCAAGUCGAACGAAGAGCGAUGGAGGCUUGCUUCUAUCAAUCUUAGUGGCGAACGGGUGAGUAACGCGUAAUCAACCUGCCCUUCAGAGGGGGACAACAGUUGGAAACGACUGCUAAUACCGCAUACGAUCUAAUCUCGGCAUCGAGGAUAGAUGAAAGGUGGCCUCUACAUGUAAGCUAUCACUGAAGGAGGGGAUUGCGUCUGAUUAGCUAGUUGGAGGGGUAACGGCCCACCAAGGCGAUGAUCAGUAGCCGGUCUGAGAGGAUGAACGGCCACAUUGGGACUGAGACACGGCCCAGACUCCUACGGGAGGCAGCAGUGGGGAAUCUUCCGCAAUGGACGAAAGUCUGACGGAGCAACGCCGCGUGAGUGAUGACGGCCUUCGGGUUGUAAAGCUCUGUUAAUCGGGACGAAAGGCCUUCUUGCGAACAGUUAGAAGGAUUGACGGUACCGGAAUAGAAAGCCACGGCUAACUACGUG